rnacentral:pre_miRNA from 1 species
UCUCAAUUCUUCCGGUGUUCGUCAGAAGGGUAUUCUCCAUGGAGAAAAACCAGAUUCUUUUAAUUUGAAAGAGGAAUACCCUUCUGACGAACACCGGAAGAAUUGAGAGCAU